UACAGAGGUCUCAAGCGUUGUUCGGAUUCAUUGGGCGUAAAGCGCGCGCAGGCGGUUCUUUAAGUCAGGGGUGAAAGCCCGGAGCUCAACUCCGGAACUGCCUUUAAGACUGCAUCGCUUGGAUCCAGGAGAGGUGAGUGGAAUUCCGAGUGUAGAGGUGAAAUUCGUAGAUAUUCGGAAGAACACCAGUGGCGAAGGCGGCUCACUGGACUGGUAUUGACGCUGAGGUGCGAAAGCGUGGGGAGCAAACAGG
rnacentral:rRNA from 1 species